GAUGAACGCUGGCGGCGUGCUUAACACAUGCAAGUCGAACGGUGAAAGAGAGCUUGCUCUCUGGAUCAGUGGCGAACGGGUGAGUAACACGUGAGCAAUCUGCCCCUGACCCUGGGAUAAGCGCUGGAAACGGCGUCUAAUACCGGAUACGAGCUGCGAAGGCAUCUCCAGCAGCUGGAAAGAACUUCGGUCAGGGAUGAGCUCGCGGCCUAUCAGCUAGUUGGUGAGGUAAUGGCUCACCAAGGCGUCGACGGGUAGCCGGCCUGAGAGGGUAACCGGCCACACUGGGACUGAGACACGGCCCAGACUCCUACGGGAGGCAGCAGUGGGGAAUAUUGCACAAUGGGCGCAAGCCUGAUGCAGCAACGCCGCGUGAGGGACGACGGCCUUCGGGUUGUAAACCUCUUUUAGCAGGGAAGAAGCGAAAGUGACGGUACCUGCAGAAAAAGCACCGGCUAACUACGUGCCAGCCGCCGCCGUAACAC
rnacentral:rRNA from 1 species